rnacentral:sRNA from 1 species
CUGUGGCGAACUGGUCCGGACUGAUGAAGUGGAUGUGGGUGUCCAGGCCCCCGGCGGUGAGGAUGCGCCCUUCACCGGCCACGGCCUCGGUCGCGGGACCGAUCACCACCUCCACGCCGUCCAUGAUGUUGGGGUUGCCGGCCUUGCCGAUCGCCAGGAUCCGCCCGUCCCGCAGACCCACGUCCGCCUUGUAGAUCCCGGUGUGGUCCAGGACGAUCACGUUCGUGAUCACGGUGUCCGCCACGGCCAGGUCACCGGGGGCACCGUCGCGGACGGUGUUGCCGUCCUGACCCAUCCCGUCGCGGAUGA